GACGAACGCUGGCGGCGUGCUUAACACAUGCAAGUCGAACGGUCAAUCCCCAGCUUGCUGGAGUGGAUCAGUUGCGAACGGGUGAGUAACACGUGAGCAACCUGCCCCUGACUCUGGCAUAAGCUCUUGACACGGCUUCUCAUACUGGAUACGAGUAGUCUCCGCAUGGGCACUUUCUGUCAAGUUGUUCGGUUGGGUAUGGGCUCGCGGCCUAUCAGCUUGUUGGUGUGGUAAUGGCUCGCCAAGGCUACGACGGGUAGCCGGCCUGAGAGGGCGACCGGCCAAACUGGGACUGAGACACGGCCCAGACUACUACGGGAGGCAGCAGUGGGGAAUAUUGCACUAUGGGAGAAAGCAUGAUGCAGCGAAGCCGCGUGAGGGAUAACGGCAUUCGGGUAGUAAAGCUAUUUCAGCAGGCAAGAAGCGAAAGUGACGGUACCUGCAGAAGAAGCACCGGCUAACUACGUG
rnacentral:rRNA from 1 species